rnacentral:rRNA from 1 species
AGUGAACGCUGGCGGUAGGCCUAACACAUGCAAGUCGAACGGCAGCACAGUAAUAGCUUGCUCUUACGGGUGGCGAGUGGCGGACGGUUGAGGAAUACAUCGGAAUCUACUUUUUCGUGGGGGAUAACGUAGGGAAACUUACGCUAAUACCGCAUACGACCUACGGGUGAAAGCAGGGGAUCUUCGGACCUUGCGCGAUUGAAUGAGCCGAUGUCGGAUUAGCUAGUUGGCGGGGUAAAGGCCCACCAAGGCGACGAUCCGUAGCUGGUCUGAGAGGAUGAUCAGCCACACUGGAACUGAGACACGGUCCAGACUCCUACGGGAGGCAGCAGUGGGGAAUAUUGGACAAUGGGCGCAAGCCUGAUCCAGCCAUACCGCGUGGGUGAAGAAGGCCUUCGGGUUGUAAAGCCCUUUUGUUGGGAAAGAAAAGCAGCAGGUUAAUACCCCGCUGUUCUGACGGUACCAAAAGAAUAAGCACCGGCUAACUUCGUG